GAAAGAUGAAAAGAACUUUGAAAAGAGAGUUAAACAGUACGUGAAAUUGUUGAAAGGGAAACGAUUGAAGUCAGUCGUACCAGCGGGAAAUCAACCUUUCGAGUGGGGUUUUGGAGUUUUGAAGUGUGUCAAAACCUUGGGGAUUUCAAAAUUUUCGCUCUUCUGGUGUACUUUCUCGCAGGUAGGUUAACAUCGAUUUUGAUCAUCAUAAAAGGAUCGGAGGAAUGUAGCUUCGAUCUCGUAUUGAAGUGUUAUA
rnacentral:rRNA from 1 species